UACGUAGGGGGCUAGCGUUGUCCGGAAUCAUUGGGCGUAAAGCGCGUGUAGGCGGUCCGGUAAGUCCGCUGUGAAAGUCGGGGGCUCAACCCUCGAAUGCCGGUGGAUACUGUCGGGCUAGAGUGCGGAAGAGGCGAGUGGAAUUCCUGGUGUAGCGGUGAAAUGCGUAGAUAUCUGGAGGAAUACCGGUGGCGAAGGCGGCGUUCUGGACUGCAACUGACACUGAUGAACGAAAGCCAGGGGAGCAAACGGG
rnacentral:rRNA from 1 species